UGGGUAACCUGCCUCAAAGAGGGGAAUAGCCUCCCGAAAGGGAGAUUAAUACCGCAUAAUAUGUUUAAGUCGCACGACUUUAACAUCAAAGGAUUUUCUUUUAGAAAUUCCACUUUGAGAUGGACCCGCGGCGCAUUAGCUAGUUGGUGAGGUAACGCCCACAAGGCGACGACGGGUAGCCGGCCUGAGAGGGUGACCGGCCACACGUGGGACUGAGACACGGCCCAGACUCCGUACGGGAGGCCAG
rnacentral:rRNA from 1 species